CAGCAGCCGCGGUAAUACGAAAGGGGCUAGCGUUGUUCGGAAUUACUGGGCGUAAAGCGCACGUAGGCGGAUUUUUAAGUCAGGGGUGAAAUCCCGAGGCUCAACCUCGGAACUGCCUUUGAUACUGGGGAUCUUGAGUUCGGAAGAGGUUGGUGGAACAGCUAGUGUAGAGGUGAAAUUCGUAGAUAUUCGCAGGAACACCAGUGGCGAAGGCGGCUAACUGGUCCAUAACUGACGCUGAGGUGCGAAAGCGUGGGGAGCAAACAGGAUUAGAUACCCCGGUAGUCCCUGUCUCUUAUAC
rnacentral:rRNA from 1 species